AAUAUUGGACAAUGGGCGAAAGCCUGAUCCAGCCAUGCCGCGUGUGUGAAGAAGGUCUUCUGAUUGUAAAGCACUUUAAGUUGGGAGGAAGGGUUGUAGGUUAAUACCCUCCAAUUUUGACGUUACCAACAGAAUAAGCACCGGCUAACUUCGUGCCAGCAGCCGCGGUAAUACGAAGGGUGCAAGCGUUAACCGGAAUUACUGGGCGUAAAGCGCGCGUAGGUGGUUCGUUAAGUUGGAAGUGAAAGCCCCGGGCUUAACCUGGGAAUUGCUUUCAAAACUGACGAGCUAGAGUACGGUAGAGGGUAGUGGAAUUUCCUGUGUAGCGGUGAAAUGCGUAGAUAUAGGAAGGAACACCAGUGGCGAAGGCGACCACCUGGGCUAAUACUGACGCUGAGGCAUGAAAGCGUGGGUAGCAAACAGG
rnacentral:rRNA from 1 species